CUUUCAAAGUUUAAGGAAAAACUAAAGGGAACUAAUGGAAAAUGGCUAAAAAUAAUAAUUCCAUGUCACCUAUUAUAGUAAGUCCCCCUGUCCCCCGGUUGCCCACAUGCAUGUAGCCUUUGUCUUUGACCUUGUGUGGUUUCCCUCCCUCCCAUUGACUCUAAUCAAAUGUGUGACCUGCAGUCUCUGGCUCUCCACAGGUGCAGCUCACACUCAAUACUAAUAAAGGAAGUCUCACUCCUGCCCCCUGCUGGCUGAUGCACACCUGCCCCCUCCGCUCUGCAUUAACUCACUCCCGCCCUAGUUUUAAAUAUCUAGGGAUUAUCCUAGAUUGCAACCUAAAUUUUGAACACAUUCUGGUCUGAUGUAAACAGCUGCAGAUAUACAGAAGUGUCAUCGAAUCAGUCAAAGCAGCAUAACAGGUUACCAAAGUUUGUUACACCACUCGGUUUCACAAAGAGUGGUUGUAAUGUUACCCAAAUACAUCCUGGUGAUGUCUAACCUCCUCUGUUUCAUGCUCUAUAAAGCAUUUUGGUCUGAUGUGAACAGACAUAGAUACAACAGGUUACCAAAUCCAACAAGGGAGCAUACCAGGUUAAUGAAAUCUGUUCCCACCAUCUUUUUCACAGUGAAUAGCUCUAAUGUUAUCCAGAUUCAGUCUGGUGAUGUCUAUCUGCCUCUAUAUCCUAGAAAAUAUUUUGGUCUGAUGUGAACAGCUGCAGAUAUACAGCAGAGUCACCAAAUUCAACAACACAACAUUAGAGGACACCAAAAUCUGUUCCCUCCCUCUAUUAUAGAAUGGCUUUAAUGCUACGCACAUUCCCUCUGGUGAUUUCUAACUUCCAGUAUUUUGUGAACAGAUACAGCAGGGUCACCGAAUACAGAAUACAGCAUUAAAGAAACCAGUUUAGUCUGACGUGAACAGAUACAGCAGGGUCACCAUAUCAGACAAGUUAAAUAUGUGUCAUGAAAAUAUCAUCUAGUGACAGGUUUCCUUAGGUCACAUGGUUUUGGCACAGCAAAUAUCAGUGCUUCUAAUAAUUUACGUGAUUUAUUCCACCGGCAAAUUUUCUUGUU